rnacentral:rRNA from 1 species
CAAUAGCGGAGGAAAAGAAACCAACAGGGAUUGCCCUAGUAACGGCGAGUGAAGCGGCAACAGCUCAAAUUUGAAAUCUGGCCCUAGGCCCGAGUUGUAAUUUGCAGAGGAUGCUUCGGGCGCGGUGCCUUCCAAGUCCCCUGGAACGGGGCGCCGGAGAGGGUGAGAGCCCCGUACGGUUGGCGGCCAAGCCUGUGUGAAGCUCCUUCGACGAGUCGAGUAGUUUGGGAAUGCUGCUCUAAGCGGGAGGUAGACCCCUUCUAAAGCUAAAUAUAGGCCAGAGACCGAUAGCGCACAAGUAGAGUGAUCGAAAGAUGAAAAGCACUUUGAAAAGAGGGUUAAAUAGCACGUGAAAUUGUUGAAAGGGAAGCGCUUGUGACCAGACGUGCGCCGGGGUGUUCAGCGGGCGUUCUCGCCCGUGCACUCGCCUCGGCGCAGGCCAGCGUCGGUUCGAGUGGGAGGAUAAAGGCGUCUGGAAUGUGGCUCCUCCGGGAGUGUUAUAGCCAGACGUGCCAUGCUCCCGCCCGGACCGAGGUACGCGUUCUGCAAGGACGCUGGCGUAAUGGUCUCCAGCGACCCGUCUUGAAACACGGACCAAGGAGUCGAGGUUUUGCGCGAGUGUUUGGGUGUUAAACCCGCACGCGUAAUGAAAGUGAACGUAGGUGGGAGCUUCGGCGCACCACCGACCGAUCCUGAUGUUUUCGGAUGGAUUUGAGUAAGAGCGUAGGGCCUCGGACCCGAAAGAUGGUGAACUAUGCUUGGAUAGGGUGAAGCCAGAGGAAACUCUGGUGGAGGCUCGCAGCGGUUCUGACGUGCAAAUCGAUCGUCAAAUCUGAGCAUGGGGGCGAAAGACUAAUCGAACCAUCUAGUAGCUGGUACCGCGA